rnacentral:rRNA from 1 species
GAGUGUCAAAGCAGGCUUAUGCCCGAAUACAUUAGCAUGAAUAAUAAAAUAGGACGUGCGGUUCUAUUUUGUUGGUUUCUAGAGUCGCCGUAAUGAUUAAUAGGGAUAGUUGGGGGCAUUAGUAUUCCGUUGCUAGAGGUGAAAUUCUUGGAUUUACGGAAGACUAACUAUUGCGAAAGCAUUUGCCAAGGAUGUUUUCAUUAAUCAAGAACGAAGGUUAGGGGAUCGAAAACGAUCAGAUACCGUUGUAGUCUUAACAGUAAACUAUGCCGACUAGGGAUCGGGCGAAC